AGCCAUGCCGCGUGAAGGAUAAGGUCCUAUGGAUUGUAAACUUCUUUUGGGUGGGAGCAAUAAGUGUGACGAGUCACACGAUGAGAGUACCAUUCGAAUAAGCAUCGGCUAACUCCGUGCCAGCAGCCGCGGUAAUACGGAGGAUGCAAGCGUUAUCCGGAUUUAUUGGGUUUAAAGGGUGCGUAGGCGGUUUGUCAAGUCAGCGGUGAAACGCAAGGGCUUAACCCUUGACCUGCCGUUGAAACUGGCGGACUUGAAUGCGGAUGCUGUGGGAGGAAUGUGUGGUGUAGCGGUGAAAUGCAUAGAUAUCACACAGAACACCGAUUGCGAAGGCAUCUCACAAAUCCGUGAUUGACGCUGAGGCACGAAAGUGUGGGGAUCAAACAGGAUUAGAUACCCUGGUAGUCCACACUGUAAACGAUGAUGACUCGCUGUCGGCGAUAUACAGUCGGUGGCCAAGCGAAAGCGAUAAGUCAUCCACCUGGGGAGUACGACCGCAAGGUUGAAACUCAAAGGAAUUGACGGGGGCCCGCACAAGCGGAGGAACAUGUGGUUUAAUUCGAUGAUACGCGAGGAACCUUACCCGGGCUCGAACGGUAGACGAACAAUGUAGAGAUACAGCGGUCCUUCGGGACGUCUAUCGAGGUGCUGCAUGGUUGUCGUCAGCUCGUGCCGUGAGGUGUCGGCUUAAGUGCCAUAACGAGCGCAACCCUUGCCAUUAGUUACCAGCAUGUAGUGAUGGGGACUCUAGUGGGACUGCCACCGUAAGGUGAGAGGAGGGGGGGGAUGACGUCAAAUCAGCACGGCCCUUACGUCCGGGGCGACACACGUGUUACAAUGGUGGGUACAGAGGGCAGCUACCUGGCGACAGGAUGCAAAUCUCGAAAACCCAUCUCAGUUCGGAUCGGAGUCUGCAACUCGACUCCGUGAAGUUGGAUUCGCUAGUAAUCGCGCAUCAGCCAUGGCGCGGUGAAUACGUUCCCGGGCCUUGUACACACCGCCCGUCAAGCCAUGAAAGCUGGGGGUGCUUGAAGUCCGUGACCGAAAGGAGCGGCCUAGAGCAAAACUGGUAAUUGGGGCUAAGUCGUAACAAGGUAACCCGGGCGGCCGC
rnacentral:rRNA from 1 species